AACGCACCUUGCGCUCCUUGGUUUUCCAAGGAGCAUGCCUGUUUGAGUGCCCAGAAAUUCACUCAACUCAAAACUUGUGUUUGGGUUGGAGGGUGGGGGACUUGCCUUGCUCUUUGGCGAGGCUCCUCUCAAAUGCCUUAGCUGGCCUUAUUUUGCCGGUCUGCCCCUUCGGCUUGAUAGUCUUGUCGAUGUCGGGGAGCGACUUUGGUGGGCUGCUUCCAGUCGUCCUUUCAGGGACAGCUUUGCUUUCUGAGCUUGGGCCUCAAAUCAGGUAGGACUACCCGCUGAACUUAA
rnacentral:misc_RNA from 1 species